AUGAAUUUCAGUAGACUUCCCAUGACAAAAGUAGAAAACAGUAUUGCAAGAUGAUAAUUUAAAUAAAAGAAGGAAACAAAAUGGAGCAGAAGCAGUUCUUUAUUUUGGUGAAUUAGGAACAUUAGGUUUGGUUAGAGAAGGAUAAGGAGGCAGAUGGCGCUCGCUGCCGAACAUCUGAAGGAGACGUUUGGGCAUGUGAAGGCUUAUGGGCAGACCCUUGACUGUAUUCAGUAAGUUUUGGACUCAAAGGAGGUGCUCCUACAUGUUCAGCCAUCUCUGAGGAGGCAAAAUCAGCAGGUCAGCCUGGGCCACCAAGCCCGGUGGACAGAAGGAGCACUGAAACAGGAGUCUGAAGACUUUGGUUUCCAUUCCAUAUUUGGGUAAGUUGUCUUACUUUCUCUGGGCCUCAUUUUCUUCUUUUAUAAAGUGGGAAUCAAAUGUGAUAAUGAAAGUGCUCUUUAUGUAUUAUAAGGCACUCUGGAAUGGUAAGAUACUGGGCUUGGAUCCCUAGUCUUUAUAGUUUCAUUCAAAACUUUCUCUUUUUUCCUUUCUUUUUCCUCCAUAGAGAUGUAUCUCUAGCCAGGUCAAAAUGUAUUUGCUGUGAAUAUCCACCAACGGGAUUAUUAUGGAUCACAAAUGGAAGCAAGAGAAAAGGAAGAGUGAGAAAGCAAGAUGACAUCGACUUCGCUCGGCUGCACUGGAGGGAAAGUCCUCUGUGGUGCCGAGGAACACCGGUGUGCCCUUCUGCAGCUGGCACCUCUGGGGGACAUCAGCCUCCGAGGUGGCCUCUUACCAACACGGGCGAGACAGCCACAUUCCUGGUCCUCUGACCCGCGACUCCACCAGCGGGAAGGACG
rnacentral:lncRNA from 1 species